GCCGCAGCCGUUGGUACAUGCGCUUCUCAACUAGCCCGGUAUAUCGGCUUCCCUCGACAUCAAGGGCAACAACCAAAUUACAUAUCCUAAAAAAGUAAACGAAAUGUUGGAAAUCGCAACUAUUACUUAAACCGUGUCCGAACUUUGGUUUUUUAAGUAAAUUAUGUAGAAGAGGUGCUGGGACACAGGCCGGGCCCUCACAUAAUGCAGCCUCAGUCGCGGACGGACACUAUAAACUUCGAAGAGUCACACGUGCUAUUACAACAUGAUUGUCUUUUGCAGGAUACUGCCGCGAUUACCUCAGUAAUGCCGUCUCUCAUCUAGACUCAUAGAUUACCUCAGUAAUGCCGUCUCUCAUCUAGACUCAUAGAUUACCUCAGUAAUGCCGUCUCUCAUCUAGACUCAUAUUGUGAUGGAAGCAACACUUGCGUUUGUGUUAACGGAAUGCCUUCUCAAUGCUUUCAAAGCAACUGUGCUCGAUUCAGAGGAGGAAAUAUACACUGGUGAAGAGAUAAACCAAAGACUGAAACAGUCGCGUUUCCUGUUAUAUUUCAUGUAAUGCAUUAUUUUUGUUAAAUGACGUACAUACUUGUUGAAAUGAUUAAAAAAUGUGAAAUAUA